UACAGAGGUCUCAAGCGUUGUUCGGAUUCAUUGGGCGUAAAGGGCGCGUAGGCGGCGCCGUCAGUCCGGGGUGAAAGCCCCCGGCUCAACCGGGGAAUUGCGCCCUAAACUGGCGAGCUGGAGUGAGAUAGGGGUGUGUGGAACUUCCGGUGGAGCGGUGAAAUGUGUUGAUAUCGGAAGGAACGCCGGUGGCGAAAGCGACACACUGGAUCUUGUCUGACGCUGAGGCACGAAAGCCAGGGGAGCGAACGGG
rnacentral:rRNA from 1 species